rnacentral:rRNA from 1 species
GACCGGAGUGGACGGACCACUGGUGUUCGGGUUGUGUCGCCAGACGCAUUGCCCGGUAGCUAUGUUCGGACGGGAUAACCGCUGAAAGCAUCUAAGCGGGAAGCCCCCUUCAAGAUGAGACUUCCCUGGGCCCUAGAGGUCCCUGAAGAGCCGUUAAAGACUAUGACGUUGAUAGGUUGGGUGUGUAAGUGCUGUGAGGCAUUGAGCUAACCAAUACUAAUGACUCGUGCGGCUUGACCAU